UCUGUGGCAUGUGGGAUCUUCCCAGACCAGGGCUCGAAUCUGUGUCCCCUGCAUUGGCAGGUGGAUUCUUAACCACUGCGCCACCAGGGAAGCCCCUGAAUCAGUUUCUUAAUAACCAGUAGGGCCUUGACUAGAAGGGAUUAUACAAAUAUCAUGUUAAGUGCUGUGAUUAUAGCACCUAUAGGAAGAGUGAUGAUUUACUUGGUAUUUGAGCACCUGCCACAUACUACACACUAUUCUAAGCACUUAGGAUAUGGUGGCAAAUAAGACAGAUGUUGCCCUUACAGGGUUUAAAUUCUAGUGGAGAAGAUAGAGAAUAAAUAGGUACACAUAAGUAAUACACUUUCAGAUAGUGGUUCGUACUGUGAAGCUAGGAAGAAAGUAAAAUAGGUAAGGGGCUAGUGACUGGGGUUAUGUGUGGAGUUAGGUGGGAUGGUCAGGGAAGAUCUCUGAGGAAGGUGAAGGAGGCUACUAUGUGCAAAUGCUACGUGAAGGCAGUGGAAGUACUUUCCAAGCAGUGUAGGUGAAAUCUAUAUUUUGGCUGAGCUGCGCAGCAUGCGGGAUCUUAGUUCUACUAGGGAGCGAACCCUGUCCCCCUGCAGUGGAAGCGUGGAGUUUUAACCACUGGACCGCCAGGGAGGUCCCAUGAAGGUGAAAUUCAGGCAGAGGCCAAAUUGUGUGGAUUUUGGGAGGCUGGGAAGAUGGGAGUCAUAUCGUAGAGGGUAUUGCAUAUCAUAACAAGAAAUUUGAAAGUUUAUUUACUGUUUUUAAUCAGGAGGAAACAUCAGACUCAACUAUGUGGUUUAUUCAAAGUAUCCAUGUCCAGGCAUCACUAAGGUCAUUCUGAAUCAGUCUUGAGUUGGGAAUCUAUUCUGGGCAAUGGGGAGCCUCUGGAGGUUGGUAAACAAAGAAUUGCAUGGUCAGAUCUAUACUUAAAAAGCUUAUUCAAGAAAUCCUUAAAUUAGAGACCAUACCUUUUACGUAAACUCAGUGGCUGAUUUAUACUAUGCAUGCAAUAAAUAACAGUUGAAUGAAUGAGAAUGUAUUGAAGAGAGUAGAAGGUGAGAGACCAUUUAUGUGUAGUAGGUUGAUGGCUUGCAAUAGGCCAGGAGAGGUGUUUUUAGUGUUGGGGCAUCCGUCUCCUUUGCUAAUUUGGUGUUGGGGCAGUCAGGAAGUUGGAGGCACAAGGAGAUAUUACUAGCCAAUUUCUGCUGAGUAUGACUGGACUCAGAAUUUCACUUGCAUUAUCUCAUUUAAUCUUCAUAGGCUUCUGCUCUUUGCUAACUGCUUGACUGUACUGCUAGAGUAGAACGGCGAGAUGUUUAUGUUCAGCAUGUUGCUGUGGGUUUUUGUACUCAGUACCUAUUAAUUGAGCUGCAUCUUUAUGUUAAAUGUUGGGGGCGGGGGAGAGAGGAGCACAUGUGUCUGUGUACAGCAGUUCUGUCUAGCCACUGGCUUCAACUUGUGCAAACUGUGUGUAAUGGGCCCCACCACUAACAAACCAGGACAUUUGAGCAGAGUGGUUUAUAGUUUAUAAUUGGCUUCCUAUUACUGUUGGCUGAUUCUCCUGCACAGAGAGUAUUACUCCAGGAUUGGUAUUUGAUUUAAGAAAUUUUCAAAUUGAUUUUAUCUUCAGUGCAUUAAUGCGUGGCCUAAAUUCUUGCAGAGCCAUUAGAUAACCAGCCUGGACAUGCUUUAGCAAUUAUAACUGGAUCUGAGCUGGCAGUGCUACAGCUUUUAUUCAGCAUAGAUAAAUCACUUUUCUGAAAACUCUUUUCUGCUUAAGCCCUGUGACUUAUUUUUUAGGACACCUCAAGUUUAGGCCCCUUGAAAUUGGAAUAUAUUCCCCAAAUCAUGCUAAGACACACAAACAGGAAUUUGUUAACACAAGUAGAGUUAAUCUCUAUCUUCCUGUCAGAACAGAACACAAAUAUUCAAGGAAUGGUGUGGAAAUCAGCGUAAUUUUCAAGCGUGCACAAUAGUAAUGCCUUUUAAAAUCUGGAAAUAUGAAAUGUGACUCCAGUAAUGAAAAUGCUAUAAACGUAACUGAGUACAUGGAAAACUGGAGGAUGUUCUGCAAUUUCAUGAGGAUUAGCAUAGGUAAAUGUUUUUCGUGAAACAUUUUUUUUCAGCUCUAGAAGUGCAGAAUAGAUCACAGCUGCAUGAAAAUACCAAUCAUCUUCUAAUGCUUUUAUGCAAAUGAUUAUAUUUGACUUUCACUUAGAGUUGCCAUUAACACCUGGAACCCUAAGAUUGAUAACAGGUAAAAUUUUAAUGAAUACAUAAAUUAGAGAUUUGAAUCAUGUUUAGAUUAAUUUAUAGCACCUUUAUUCAUUACUGCAAAUCCUCUUGAAAUCUAAAAAUCACAGGAUGAGACAGAAAAUAGAGAAGAGGAGACAGCCUUUGAACUUAUCAAUUUUUUUUAGUGGUGAAAAAGGAUGACUUGGAAAUACUAAACCCUGCAAGUGUUUUGUUCUGCCCUUUGCAAUAAUUUGCCCAGAUGCUAGGCCUGCGUAUCCUGCAGAAGACUUUUAUUUUCUCAUGCCCUGAGAUAACACUGGUCUUCUUUUUUUUUUUUUUAAUGAUUUUUCUUCCUAUGCACACUCCUUGCUUUAAAAAAUACUUUUUAAAAAAAAUGAAAGUCAAAAUUGUCUUGUUUUAGACGUUUUGGGAAAUACAGAGGAUGUGAAGAAAAAAAACCUCAUUGUCCUGACAUCCAGGGACAACCAUUAUUAUAUGGUUAGGACAUGGAAGCUCAGAAAGGGUGAGGAAACUGCAAUUCACAAAGGUUAUUUGUCAACAUCAUCCAGCAAGUGACUGACAACACUGGGAUUUGAAUGGAGCUCUGCCUGGUUUGCCUGUUGUCGGCUCAGCCCCAAGAGAAGCACACUGGGCCCACAAAGCUUUCUUUCCAGCUGAGGCUUAGAGGUUGCCAAUCCAACCUGGAGUCUUGUGCUUCUUUGCCAAACAACGCAGGUGCUCCGUGGGUCCAGGCCCACGGCUUCGUUGAGUACACAUCCCUGGGAGCAGCAGCCACUAAGAGGUGAUUCUUUGUCCACUACACAGUUGGGGAACUGCUCGUCUCAGUACAGAACCUGCUUCGCCCUGCUUAUACCUUUUAAAAAGCAUGUUGUUAGGUUCAUACAAAUUUAGAAUUGUUAUACCUUCCUGGUAAAUUAUCAUUAUGAAAUGACUACCCCUCUCCAUUAUGAGAUGUUUUGGGCUUUAAAGUCUAUUUUAUUCUGUAAUGAAUCUAGCCAUGUCAGCUUUCUUUUGUUUAGUAUUUGUACAUGCUUUUUCUACCUUUCCACUGUCAACCUUUUUUGUAUAUUUAUUCUUUAGGUAUAUUUCUUAUAGACAAUAUAUAGUUGGAUUUUUAUUAUCUACUCUGGCAAUCUUUGCCUUUCAAAUGAAAUAUUUAUUUUUUAAACCUCAAGAUAAUCUUACCAUUAUUUACAGUCAAUAUUCAUUUAGACGUUUUACUUGGGAUCAUUUUUUGUCUGCCUGUAACAAAACAUUUAGAAUGUCUUUAGUGUAUUUGAUCUUCUAGUGGCAAACUGUUUCAGUUUUGUUUGUCUGAAAAUGUCACCUUUAUGGUUGAUUUUCUCCUCAAUGCCUAACAUGUUGGAAGAAAACAAAUGUCAAUUCAGAAUUCUACACCCAGCAAAAAUAUCCUUCAGGAAUGAAGACAAAAUAAAGACAUAUCAUCAUUCCACUGAACUCUUAGUUCUUUCCACCUGCUCUUCCCUACCAAUCCCAAGAAUUUGGGCAGAGACCACAAAGAUAUUGAGCUUCUCUAAGACUCAUCUUCUUUUUACUUCAUCUCAUAUCUUGAUUUCCCGUUAAGUCCUGUAAACUGUAUUGCAAUCUAACCACUUCUUACUUCCUCCACUUCUACUUCCUUAGCUUAAACUACUGUCAUCUCUCACCCAAACUGUAGCAAUAGCUUCCUAAUUGGUCUCUCUGCUUCCUCUCUUACCACCCACAUGAUGUUGACACAACAUCCUUUUAUAAUGCAAAGGAGAUAUCGUUAUCUUCUGCUCAGAACCCUCCGAUGUCUUCCCAUCACAUUUAGCAUCAAAUGCAAACUCUGUGCAUAGUGUCCAUGAUGUAGCUUCUCCCUACCUCUCUCACUUCAUUUCCUACCACACUCCUCCUUGUUCACUGAGCUCCAGCCGCACUGGACUCCUGCUGUUCCUCACUCAUGCCCAGUUUGCUUCUAUCUCAGGAUCCUCCCAGGUGCUCCUGCUUCUGCCUGGAGUGUUCCCCCCAGAGGGAGCCCGCCUCCCUCCCUCACUUCAUUCCCACCUCUGCUCAAAUGUUAACUCAUCAGCGAGGGUUUCCCUGAACUCCCUAAAAUAAAAUUCUCUCAUUCUCUAUCCUCUACUCUGCUUUAAUUUUCUUCCUAACAAUGAUAACUUCCUGACCUUAUGUCAUAUGCACUAGAGUAUAAACUCAAGGAGGACAAUAACUUUAUUUUAUUCAUUGUAUUCGUCCCUCGUGUCUCAAAUAGUCCCUGGCAGGGAGGAGGUUUUCAAUAAAUAUCUGCUGAAUAAAUGGAUCUGCACAGUUGUCUAUGUUAUAAUGAGAAUGCAUAUUAAAAUAUUUUAAUGCAAAUAUAGCCCAAGUAUCUAACCUCAUCAGCUUGUUACUACAAAGUUGGGUUUAAUUGCCUGAUUGCCUUUUCAUAUUCAACCUGUAAUGACUUCAGUCCCGUUCAUGGGAUGGCAAAUCCUCAGUCUUUCCUCAAAGGUCCCCGCAGUUAUUUCUGGGGGUCCCCGCAGAAGGGCUCACAGGAGUGAUGUACUAGAGUUGGCAUGUAUAGCCUCCCAAGAGUUGAUUGUUAAAUAUUUAGGAAUUCUGUAAGUUGAUUGUCAUACCGUAGCUUGAAAUUGGUCAGAGUGGAAGUACUUACACACUGGCAAUCAGAGAAUGCUAUAAAUCAUGGUGGUGUUUUAAAUAAAAAAAAAAUUGUAGAGCCAGUUUACCAGUACGAGGUUCUACAAACUAAUUAGUAAACUAUUGUCUCCAAGUGGUAUCAGCUGUCCUCCAGCUGAGGCCCUCCCCCCACCCGCCCCCAUGGAAGGCUCUUGGAGAACCCUGCCUAGUGCCUCGGCCCAUCCAGACAAGGCCAACGCACCUGCUAAGGCUAUAUCAUAUACUCUCAGGGAGCCAAGAGUCAAAUUUAGGACUGCUUAUCCAGUAGAUACAGAAAUGGAGGGGAGCUUUGAAGAUACAGGGUUUCUCCAAAGCCUCCCUCAGUGUCUCCUCUCACCAGCUGACUUUGAAAGCUCUUAGACUUUGUGUUUUCUUUUAAGCAAAGCUCCAUAGUGGUGGUGACAAGGCAUGGCUUGAUGACUUUAUCUCCACCCCCCACGCACCCACCCCCUGCCCCCUUGGAAGACUCUGCUAGUUGUGUUUUCCAAACCCAUUCCUCAUUCUUCCUUACUGUAGCUGUGAUGACAGAGCAGCAGAAUGACAGAGCAGGAGACAGAAGAAGCCACCAUAAGGUCACUGGAGACAAAAUAAAAUCCCUUGACUCACUUAAGCCACUGUUAGCUGGCUUACCUACCACCUGACCAAUUCCUAACUGAAACACUUCUCUGUAAUAUCCAUCACCUUCCCCAAGCCAGCUAAGUAAAAACAUAUUUUCCAUGCAAGUACAAGAGCCCUAGGCAUCCUCCCCACAACUUGAUGACUGCCUCCAGGCCUCCAUGUAGACUCUGGACCUGCCCUCGUGGUUCCAUAUAUGUCCCUUCUGCCACGUGCUGCACUACCCCUCCCCACUGACCCACCCAAGCAGGAGGUACGCAGAAGAUAUUUCUCCUGAACCUGCUCCCUCCAUAGGUCAAGGCCUUCACGUUGAGGAAAUAGCAGAGUGUGGGCUUUUAGGCUUGUGUUUGAGCCCUGAUACUUAUAACUGUCCUGAGGAAAGUUAUUCAUUUUAUUCUCAGUUUUCUCAUCUGUGUAAGGAGGUCAAUAUUCCCAGCCUCCUAGGGUUGAUUGCUGUAAGGAUUAAAUGAGAAAAUGCCCAGAGUAAGUGCUCAGUGGGUAUUAGCUCUUAUAGACAGGGCUGUAAUGAACUUUAUGGUCCACACAUAUCACACCUAAUAAUUUCCUUAGGAUAAAUUCCUAGAAGAGGAAUUUCUGGGUUACGGUUUCUGCUCAUUUUGGAUUUUGACCAUACUGAAAAUUGUUCUCCAAAAGGGUUUAUACCAAUCUGAGAAUCUCCCAUUUCUCCAGAUCUUCAUUAGUACAAUGUAUUAUCAUUUUCCUUACCUUUGCUGAUUUUGUAAGGCAAAAAGAGCGUCUCACUUUUUUCUUAUUAAUUUUUAAGUUGGAUGUAUUUUUUU